AGGCCCGGACUCUCGAGAGCAAUAACACUUUCUGCAAGGCUUUUAUCCCUACAAGAAUUACACCAGAAUCAGAAUGAAGUUGACA